AUACUGUGGGUGGCGAGUGGCGGACGGGUGAGUAAUGCAUCGGGACCUGCCCAGACGUGGGGGAUAACGUAGGGAAACUUACGCUAAUACCGCAUACGUCCUACGGGAGAAAGCGGGGGAUCGAAAGACCUCGCGCGGUUGGAUGGACCGAUGUUCGAUUAGCUAGUUGGUGAGGUAAUGGCUCACCAAGGCGACGAUCGAUAGCUGGUCUGAGAGGAUGAUCAGCCACACUGGGACUGAGACACGGCCCAGACUCCUACGGGAGGCAGCAGUGGGGAAUAUUGGACAAUGGGCGAAAGCCUGAUCCAGCAAUGCCGCGUGUGUGAAGAAGGCCUUCGGGUUGUAAAGCACUUUUAUCAGGAGCGAAAUACUGCCGGCUAAUACCCGGCGGGGCUGACGGUACCUGAGGAAUAAGCACCGGCUAACUUCGUGCCAGCAGCCGCGGUAAUACGAAGGGUGCAAGCGUUAAUCGGAAUUACUGGGCGUAAAGCGUGCGUAGGCGGUUAUUUAAGUCUGCUGUGAAAUCCCCGGGCUCAACCUGGAAUGGCAGUGGAUACUGGAUAGCUAGAGUGUGAUAGAGGAUGGUGGAUUCCCGGUGUAGCGUGAAUGCGUAGAGAUCGGGAGGACAUCAGUGGGCGAGCGUCAUCUGGAUCACACUGACGCUGAGCACGAAGCGUGGGGAGCAAACAGGAUAGAUACCUGGUUAGUCCACGCCUUAACGAAUGCGACUGAAUGUGUCUCACUCGAAAUCAUGUCGAGCUACGCGUAAGUCGGC
rnacentral:rRNA from 1 species